UUGAUGAAUUGAAGUGAUGUUCAUUUAGAUCAAUUUGCGUUUGAGUAUUCAGCAGUUAUCAUAUUGUUGGUUGUUUUCAUAUUGUUGGUUCCUAUGCUUAAUCAUUCUGCAUUUUUAUGUUACAUGGCAAUUGAUUGCCUUAUUCGAACCAACUAAAUGUAAGGAAGAGCUUGAAUAUUUUGACAUAGGUGUUUAUUCUCACUGAAUUGUGCAGCGGGUUCCAAGUUAUCAGAAGAAGAGGCAGAGAAUAGAAAGUUGAUGCCACAGUGUCAAAUACCCAAGUUGGUUCCGGGUAGUGAAUAAUGUGAUUGUCUUCAGAAGAAAGCUCUGAGAGGACUGGAUUUGCAGACUGGCUUUUUUCACCUUGAGGCAAAUUAUCUAGUUUUAUGGUUAUGUUUUUGCCUACUUUGAGUUAGUUCUCAAACAACAAUGUAAAUAUCGAAAACUCCCUUGUUUUUGUAAUCCAAGAAUUUUGCUAGAAAUGAAAAGAACAUCUUGCUAUGAAUUAAAAGUUUUAAUAUUUUCGA